GAGGGUAUAGCUCAAGUGGUAGAGCACAUGCUUACCAUACACAAGGUCCUGGGUUCAAUCCCCAGUACUUCCU
rnacentral:tRNA from 1 species